rnacentral:siRNA from 1 species
AACAUCAAGCCCAAAAAGCCCAUA